GACGGAGGGUGCAAGCGUUGUUCGGAUUGACUGGGCGUAAAGGGCGUGUAGGCGGUCGGUCAAGUCUGGUGUGAAAGCCCGGGGCUCAGCUCCGGAAGUGCAUCGGAAACUAGCUGGCUGGAGCGCGAUAGAGGAGGGCGGAAUUCCUGGUGUAGCGGUGAAAUGCGCAGAUAUCAGGAGGAACACCUAUUGCGAAGGCAGCUCGCUGGGACGUUACUGACGCUGAGACGCGAAAGCGUGGGGAGCAAACAGG
rnacentral:rRNA from 1 species